UCAUCUCUGCUGGUUAUUUCCCCAUCCAUCACCUGUCCGGUGGUCCUUGUUUACGAUCGUAUCUCAGCCCGUUGUUUGCGUGGAAUCGAUGUGAGUAAUCACGCAAGAGAAGAUUAACAGUGAUGUAACUGAAAGAGCCCGAUAUCUCAACAUCCUCAUUAAGAUUCGCCAGCAGUUCAUCUACGUUUCCCAGUUGCACCUGGACAGAGAGAAAGACAUUGACAACCGGGAACUGAAAAUUAUUUAUCUCCUCUUGUCUGCCCAUCAGAGGGAGUAAAUCCAUUUUCUACUUUUUUGGCUCUUUAUCCGUUCUGUUCUGCCUAAGCUUGCUCUCUCUCUGUCUGUUAUCUCUGACAGUGGUCUCUAACCCUGUUCAAGCAUUUAAACAUCAAUGGGCUGGAUUGGCCUUGCGAUCUGACUCCGAAGAGGCUGACAGUGACAGAGACGUGCGAACGUCCCAGCAGAGGAUUCGAUCUGCACUACAGGUCAAGUGUGAUGAAAUAUACAGUUUAAUGUGCCAAUUGUCACUUGAUACAGCGAGUGCUUUUGAAGAAGAACUAAUCGCUGGAUUUGCCAAAGUUUGCCAGCCCUUGACGAGAGGACACGCUCGGUCGCAGCACCAGGCGCCGCACGUCACCGGGCUCGCAUGACUUCAUCAGCGCUCUGCUUCAGCGCUGGGGAGCUCCACGUCAUGCAUAAACAUGAGCUGUCACUAUCACAGUGAGGCCCCAAAGAGCCCGAGCUGCCAGCCAAAAGCGGGACUGCGGACACAUGCUGCAGUGUGUGUGUGAUUUGGAGGAGUUUCAGGAAUGUGGAGCACAAGGCCGUGGUGUGCUUCGGCUCACAGUCGCAGUGGGUCAACACACCGAGCUCAGAAAGCAAAUAGAGGCAGACUGCAAACAGAUGAAGAUACUCCCGUGCAUCUCUCACACUGUCCUGACAUCCUUGCCAAAAAAUAUGAUCUGACUUACACUGGUGGAUGAUAAAAAUGGCCGGAAAAAAGUUACGUUUAUGACAUACUAUGUGAUAAAUAUGAGAUAAUAUGAGAUAAUACUAAAUCAUAGUUAUGAGAUCUAAAGGUGAAAUUGCCAUAAAUUGAAAUUAUGAGAUACAAAGCCAUUAUUAUAACUCAAAACAGACAUACCAAGUCAUAACUGAAAAAAGUCCAAAAUAUGAAAUAAAAAGUCAAAAUUAUGAGAUAAAAAGCCAUUAUUAUAACUCAAAACAGACAUACCAAGUCAUAACUGAAAAAAGUCCAAAAUAUGAAAUAAAAAGUCAAAAUUAUGAGAUAAAAAGUUGAAUUUGACAUACUAAGUGAUUAUUAUAAUAUAUAUUUUUAAAAUAACAAAAUUACUGGAUGCUAUGUCACAAUUAUGAGAUAAAAGCCCAAAUUAUGAGAUACUAAAUCAUAAUUAUGAGAAAAAAAGAUGAAAUUGACAUAAAAAGUUAUGAAAUACAAAGCCAUAAUUCUAAGUCAAAACUGAGAAAAAAAGAGUCCUAAAUAUGAUAUAAAAAAAUUCUAAAUUAUGAGAUAAAAAGUUGAAUUUAUGACAUACUAAGUGAUGAUUAUGAUAUUAAAAAAAAUGAUGGAAUACUAAGUCAUAAUUAUUUGAUAAAAAGCCCAAAUUAUAAGAUGCAAAGCCAUAAUUAUAAGUAAAAACUGAUAAACUAUGUCAUUUAUAUAUAAAAUAUAAAAAGUCAAUAUUAUGAGAUAAAAAGUUGAAUUUAUGACAAACUAAGUGAUGAUGAUAUAAAAAGGCAAAAUUAUGGGAUACUAAGUGAUAAUUGUGAGACAAAAGACAAGAUUAUGACAUAAAAAGUUGAAAUUAUGAGAUAAGAAGCCAUAAUUAUAAUAACUGAGAUGUCAAAAUUGACAUACUAAGUCAUAACUAAGAUGAUGUCUAAAUUAUGACAAAAAAAUUCAAAUUACGAGAUUAAAAGUCUUAAUAAUAAUAAAUCAAAAUUGAUAUGUCAUAAUUGAGAUAAAAAAGCCCAAAAUAUGACCGUUAUGACAUAAAAAGUCAAAACUAUGCGAUAAAAUCACAAUUAUGAUAUAAAAAGUAAAGAUGGCUGAAGGAAAAUCUUAGACUUACUUUAAAGUCCAUAAAAUGGAGUAGAUGUGACUGAAUAUGAAUGUGCGUUUGUAUUCCACCCAAAAUAUCAAACGUUUGCAUGAUAAUUUUGCUUUUCUGAUAUACAGUAAAUUAAGAAAUUACUAUCACUGCAACCAAGUUUUAUCAUAAACAGUGGUCAAAUAUUGAAGCAGGAGUCUUUCUGCAGUUUGUCAAGAGUUUGAUGGUUUUAGCUUGCAGUGAAUUCUAAACAACAAACUUGGGCUGCCAGUGUUCUUUGCACUUUAAGAUGUUAAAAUCUAGUUAUAUGUGUGAAUAUUAUUCAUUCUGUUGGAAUAUGUAUUUUUGUCCUGCUUAAAUGGUCCUGAAACUAAAAAAGUGCAGUUCAGACUGGAUCAUUUAAAUUUCAUGAAGGCAUUUUAGUGUUUUCCGACAUGGAAAGGUUUAAAUUGUUCAGGAGCAGAGCUGUCUUUGAAAAGCACACAUGAAAAGCUGUGCUAAUGUCUGAUAUGUGUUCAUUUUACAUAAUAUUUAUACCAAAUGGGUGUUGCUUUAUC